rnacentral:rRNA from 1 species
CCUACGGGUGGCAGCAGUGGGGAAUAUUGGGCAAUGGGCGCAAGCCUGACCCAGCAACGCCGCGUGAAGGAAGAAGGCUUUCGGGUUGUAAACUUCUUUUAAGAGGGAAGAGCAGAAGACGGUACCUCUUGAAUAAGCCACGGCUAACUACGUGCCAGCAGCCGCGGUAAUACGUAGGUGGCAAGCGUUGUCCGGAUUUACUGGGUUUAAAGGGCGUGCAGCCGGGAAGACAAGUCAGAUGUGAAAUCCCGGGGCUCAACCGCGGAACUGCAUUUGAAACUGUUUUUCUUGAGUACGGGAGAGGUCAUCGGAAUUCCUUGUGUAGCGGUGAAAUGCGUAGAUAUAAGGAAGAACACCAGUGGCGAAGGCGGAUGACUGGACGGCAACUGACGGUGAGGCGCGAAAGCGUGGGGAGCAAACAGGAUUAGAUACCCUUGUAGUC